rnacentral:rRNA from 1 species
GACGAACGCUGGCGGCGUGCUUAACACAUGCAAGUCGAACGGAAAGGCCCUGCUUUUGUGGGGUGCUCGAGUGGCGAACGGGUGAGUAACACGUGAGUAACCUGCCCUUGACUUUGGGAUAACUUCAGGAAACUGGGGCUAAUACCGGAUAGGAGCUCCUGCUGCAUGGUGGGGGUUGGAAAGUUUCGGCGGUUGGGGAUGGACUCGCGGCUUAUCAGCUUGUUGGUGGGGUAGUGGCUUACCAAGGCUUUGACGGGUAGCCGGCCUGAGAGGGUGACCGGCCACAUUGGGACUGAGAUACGGGCCAGACUCCUACGGGAGGCAGCAGUGGGGAAUAUUGCACACUGGGCGGAAGCAUGAUGCAGCAACGCCGCGUGCGGGAUGACGGCCUUAGGGUUGUAAACCGCUUUCGCCUGUGACGAAGCGUGAGUGACGGUAAUGGGUAAAGAAGCACCGGCUAACUACGUG